GUUAACUCUUUCAAUCAUUUUUAACUAUCGAUAUCUUAGACAAUGGCUAAUUAGAAUAUUGGCGCGUCUGCAUUCGUCAACACGUUUCGAAAUCAGGCAGUUUCGAUGGUUUCAACAAAGGAAAUGGAACAGUAACUUUUUUGGAAACGUGGCUGCACCAAAAAUAGCAAGGCAAAUGAAAUUACAAUUAAUGUGGUGGUCGCGUCUGGUCGUUUCAAUUCUGGUCGCGUCUCAAUAGAAUCGCUUGUUACAUCGUCGAUGCGGUCUAUGCUGUUUAGCAGAUGAACAUCAUCCAGUUUCAUUGGGAAAACUCUGAUCUCGUGUAUGCCCAUGUGAAUGUGGGUGUAUUCACGAGGACGACCUUUUCCCGUCAUUUAACUCUCCAGAGGACGGAGCAACUGCUGUGAUAAGCCUGGCUGUAUUUCCCAGGCUUAAAGGCUCAACCUUAUACGAACCUGAGGCUUUGUCAUUUUCUCGUCAGUUCAGCCCAAUCAACACGUCCACCCAAAUGACAUGGAAUGAUUCACCACUUGAUUCGAGUCGUCAAUUGUUGCAAAAGGUAAUCGACAGUCGUAGAUUAUGACAUAUAAUGAAUAACAUUUAAUGGAAUUUGUCAUAUGUGGCCGUGAGAUGGCCAUUCAACGAGGAAGGAGCAGACGCCACUGGGGUCGUCACACGUUUCAUUUGGUGUCGCCCGGAAAGUGGCUGCCGCUCCAAGUGCUUCAACCCAACCGCGUGGCUUUGCGCCUCAUCAAGUUAACGAGAUCCCUCUCGUACAAGUAAGUUGUUGCUGUAAUUAUUUGAUUCGGCCAAUUUUUGUGUACGCACGCCAGUGAUAUUCAGAACGGGUUUCAUUUCCUACAAUAUUCAUGGACAUGUGUGGCCCUAUUAAAGUCUUGCAAUAGCCAUGGGAUUCAACUGCGUAAGCGGCGA